rnacentral:rRNA from 1 species
CGGAUGGGUGAGUAGCACGUGGGCAAUCUGCCCUAAAGACUGGGAUACCACUUGGAAACAGGUGCUAAUACCGGAUAACAACAUGAAUCGCAUGAUUCAAGUUUGAAAGGCGGCGCAAGCUGUCACUUUAGGAUGAGCCCGCGGCGCAUUAGCUAGUUGGUGGGGUAAAGGCCUACCAAGGCAAUGAUGCGUAGCCGAGUUGAGAGACUGAUCGGCCACAUUGGGACUGAAACACGGCCCAAACUCCUACGGUAGGCAGCAGUAGGGAAUCUUCCACAAUGGACGCAAGCGCUGAUGGAGCAACGCCGCGUGAGUGAAGAAGGUCUUCGGAUCGUAAAGCUCUGUUGUUGGUGAAGAAGGAUAGAGGCAGUAACUGGUCUUUAUUUGACGGUAAUCAACCAGAAAGUCACGGCUAACUACGUGCCAGCACCCGCGGUAAUACGUAUGUGGCAAGCGUUGUCCGGAUUUAUUGGGCGUAAAGCGAGCGCAGGCGGAAUGAUAAGUCUGAUGU